CUGGUAUUUGAGCCCCGUGACAAUCAGCCUGGGACACUCUUCUCUUCACCUUCCUACCAGCAGUCCUGCACCUUUUCCUGGAUUGUCUGCCCAGGGUCUGCCCCAUGAUGCAACAGCCGGUCUCUUCUGCAGGUUUUUCUGCUGGGGAAAGUUUCCUCAGAGCUGGAAUGCCUGCAGACAGGAGUUCAGGUCACCCUCCACAUCUGUCACCAUUUGCUACACUUCUAAAGAAGAUCUCUGUAGAUCAUGUGCCAAUUUGUU
rnacentral:lncRNA from 1 species